CAAUCAUCAUAAAAAGUUUUUUAAUAAAAAAAAGUUAUAUGCGUGUGUUCUACGUAUGUUUGCAAAGCACACAGUUUCGUGCGCAAAAUGCUCGCGCAAAAAGCUCGCAUAACAAAACAAAUCGUUAAAUAAAAAUCAUUACCGCAUCCAUUUCGGAAAAGAGAAUGAAAUACAUUUUGAGUUUUUUAAUCGUGCUUCUGCUCUACGUCAUGUGCCCGCCGGUAGAGUGUACUUUUCUGCAUCGACGUGCAACUAUCAAAGAAAAACGCAUCGCGGCUCAACAUGCGCAGAAUCAACGUUCGACACGGCAAAGAAGCGGCACAGAGGUCGCAGUGGACGACCGAGGAAGAUCUAUAUUCAAUAUUGGACAGAUUUUGGACCCGCUUCUUGGCACACCGAUUACUUUCCAAGCUGUGGUUUUAGAAAUUCUGAAAUUUCCAUUGAAACAAGCGUUGGUUAGCUUGCAUUGGACUAAUGAACAUAUUGUACGCCGUAUCAUACAAUACCUAACCACAAAGAUGAAUAAUUUUUAUGAUACUUAUUUGGAUAGUUCGGAUUUGCCGAUUUUCGUUGCUAUCGCUGCUUUUAUUCUCGGAACUGUAGCGGAAUCGUUUACGAAAACCGAUGAAGUACUUGAUAAAUUAGAUAGUUUUAUUAACGACAUCCUGGAUGUCAUCGUUGGGGAUUAGUUGGUUAGAUUUCAUAUAAAAUGUUCUUCUAUAACUAUAAAUUGUUAUGUUUCUGUAAUUGUGUGAUACAUUAAAGAAAAAUUACCAAAA